CGUGUAGGCGGUUUGUACGGUCAGAUGUGAAAUCCCCGGGCUUAACCUGGGAGCUGCAUUUGAGCGUGCAGACUAGAGUGUGAGAGAGGGUUGUGGAAUUCCCAGUGUAGAGGUGAAAUUCGUAGAUAUUGGGAAGAACACCGGUGGCGAAGGCGGCAACCUGGCUCAUUACUGACGCUGAGGCGCGAAAGCGUGGGGAGCAAACA
rnacentral:rRNA from 1 species